rnacentral:tRNA from 2 species
GUUUUUAUAGUUUAAAGUUAAAACAUUGGUCUUGUAAAUCAAAAAUAAGUAUAUUACUUUAAAAACU